CCUACGGGUGGCUGCAGUGGGGAAUAUUGCACAAUGGGGGAAACCCUGAUGCAGCGACGCCGCGUGUGUGAAGACGUAAUUCGUUAUGUAAAGCUCUAUCAGCAGGGAAGAAAAUGACGGUACCUGAGUAAGAAGCCCCGGCUAACUACGUGCCAGCAGCCGCGGUAAAACGUAGGGGGCAAGCGUUAGCCGGAUUUACUGGGUGGAAAGGGAGCGUAGACGGGGGUGGAAGGCUGGAUGGAAAGGCUGGGGCUCAACCCCCGGGUGGCUCUGGAAACUGUAGGGCUGGAGUGCAGGAGAGGUAAGUGGAAUUCCUAGUGUAGCGGUGAAAUGCGUAGAUAUUAGGAGGAACACCAGUGGCGAAGGCGGCUUACUGGACUGUAACUGACGUUGAGGCUCGAAAGCGUGGGGAGCAAACAGGAUUAGAUACCCCUGUAGUC
rnacentral:rRNA from 1 species